rnacentral:misc_RNA from 1 species
CUGGAGGCUUCCUAGGUAAGGUGCCUAAGUUCUGGCUGCAACUAAUAUAAGCUCAAUCUUGUAUAAGAAGUUUAGUAGCUCUUAGAUCAUAUAUUUACACCGAGAUUCGUGCACUAAUUAUUUCACUGAUGUGCAUAUGCAUGCUUUAAUUGAUUAUGCAUGGAUCUCAAAAUAAAUAUUUGAUCUGAGGUCUGUUAGGCCUGUUCUUAAAUAAGAUCGAGUAUAUAUUAGAUGCACCUUUUCAUUUUUUGGAGUACAAUCUGAUGGUUGCCUACAGUUUCAUUAUAUUUUUAACUCUCUUGGUUCAGAGUUAAUUAUAGGCCAUUUGGUUUAAUUCCUGCUUUUGCUUGAGCAUAGAUCCUUCUGAGUGCUGAUUAUUCCUUUGAAUAAUUCAAAUGAUUGAAUUUCAUUUAUUAAUAUAUUUUUUAAGCGAGGAGAAGCUUAAAUAUGUUCCCUUAUUUAUGUAAUAACCAAGUUCUGUGCAAGAUCUAAAAUGUGAGUUCGUAGAUUUAUAGAUUUAGGCAUUGCCUAGGAAAUUGCAAUGUUUUUUAAUUUUCCUCUCAUUUUUU